GGAAUAUUGGUCAAUGGACGAAAGUCUGAACCAGCCAUGCCGCGUGAAGGAUGACGGCCCUCUGGGUUGUAAACUUCUUUUAUCUGGGACGAAAAAAGGUCAUUCUUGAUCACUUGACGGUACCAGAGGAAUAAGCACCGGCUAACUCCGUGCCAGCAGCCGCGGUGACACGUAGGCACCAAGCGUUGUCCGGAUUUAUUGGGCGUAAAGAGCUCGUAGGCGGUUCGGUAAGUCGGGUGUGAAAACUCUGGGCUCAACCCAGAGCCGCCACCCGAUACUGCUGUGACUAGAGUGCGGUAGGGGAGCGGGGAAUUCCUGGUGUAGCGGUGAAAUGCGCAGAUAUCAGGAGGAACACCAGUGGCGAAGGUGCCGCUCUGGGCCGUGACUGACGCUGAGGAGCGAAAGCGUGGGUAGCAAAC
rnacentral:rRNA from 1 species